rnacentral:rRNA from 1 species
UGGGGAAUAUUGCACAAUGGGCGCAAGCCUGAUGCAGCCAUGCCGCGUGUGUGAAGAAGGCCUUCGGGUUGUAAAGCACUUUCAGCGGGGAGGAAGGCGAUAAGGUUAAUAACCUUGUCGAUUGACGUUACCCGCAGAAGAAGCACCGGCUAACUCCGUGCCAGCAGCCGCGGUAAUACGGAGGGUGCAAGCGUUAAUCGGAAUUACUGGGCGUAAAGCGCACGCAGGCGGUCUGUCAAGUCGGAUGUGAAAUCCUCGGGCUCAACCUGGGAACUGCAUCUGAUACUGGCAAGCUUGAGUCUCGUAGAGGGGGGUAGAAUUCCAGGUGUAGCGGUGAAAUGCGUAGAGAUCUGGAGGAAUACCGGUGGCGAAGGCGGCCCCCUGGACGAAGACUGACGCUCAGGUGCGAAAGCGUGGGGAGCAAACAGG